UCUGAUUGACAGCCCUCUCACUCCUCACUAUACACACCACAGUCGGGGAUUACUUGCAGUGCGUUUGGCUCACAAGCGAACCGAGCUACCAGUACACACACCGAUGUACCUCACCGCAACUCAGCUGCUGCUCAGCAGGCACACAACUUGUGGGGUAUAAGGCCGGCACCCCUCGAACAGUUUACGCAUUCUGGAAACACCUGCACCUGGCGGAUAUCUGCACUCUCUCCAGACAAACAGCCACAGCUUUCGGAGCCAUGUCAGCCAGACUAGGUGGAUUAAUGGCUCCACUGCUCAACAUGCUGGCCGUGUACCACUGGUCCAUCCCCACCACGGUCUUCAGCAGUGGAGCGCUCUGCUUCCUGAGUCCAGGAGAAAAGAGCUUCCUGAGUCAACCGAUGAGGCCGAUAACCACAGAAAGGGGACCUCCGCAAAGCGGGCCAGCUUUUCAAGUUCAAUAUCAACCAACAUGUAAACGUGUUUAAAAUCCAUGUUCAUACACAUAAUCGCUUUACAUCAAAUAAUAGUAGAAAAAUAACAAAUUACCAUUUGCUUGUGUGUGUAUUAAUUGAAGGCUUCAUGUGUCAAUGAAUGUAAUGAAGCUGUUAAUAAUGACCUACAUUGUUUUUAGUUAUUUUUACACUUCACAUACACAAGAUAUAAAUCAGAUGUUCCUAAUCUAAGCAGUAAGCAUGGCUCUAUAUAUGUGAAUAAUUUCUAUAUGCUUGUCCUUUC